rnacentral:rRNA from 1 species
AUUGAACGCUGGCGGCAGGCCUAACACAUGCAAGUCGAGCGGAUGAAGGGAGCUUGCUCCUGGAUUCAGCGGCGGACGGGUGAGUAAUGCCUAGGAAUCUGCCUGAUAGUGGGGGACAACGUCUCGAAAGGAACGCUAAUACCGCAUACGUCCUACGGGAGAAAGCAGGGGACCUUCGGGCCUUGCGCUAUCAGAUGAGCCUAGGUCGGAUUAGCUAGUUGGUGGGGUAAUGGCUCACCAAGGCGACGAUCCGUAACUGGUCUGAGAGGAUGAUCAGUCACACUGGAACUGAGACACGGUCCAGACUCCUACGGGAGGCAGCAGUGGGGAAUAGUGGACAAUGGGCGAAAGCCUGAUCCAGCCAUGCCGCGUGUGUGAAGAAGGUCUUCGAAUUGUAAAGCACUUUAAGUUGGGAGGAAGGGCAGUAAGCUAAUACCUUGCUGUUUUGACGUUACCGACAGAAUAAGCACCGGCUAACUCUGUGCCAGCAGCCGCCGCAGUA